rnacentral:tRNA from 1 species
GAAGGUAUAGCCCAGUAGUAGAGAGCAUGCUUACAGUACACAUGGUCCUGGGUUCAAUGCCCAGUACCUCCA